rnacentral:rRNA from 1 species
GAUGAACGCUGGCGGCGUGCCUAAUACAUGCAAGUCGAGCGAACAGAUGAGGAGCUUGCUCCUCUGACGUUAGCGGCGGACGGGUGAGUAACACGUGGAUAACCUACCUAUAAGACUGGGAUAACUUCGGGAAACCGGAGCUAAUACCGGAUAAUAUAUUGAACCGCAUGGUUCAAUAGUGAAAGACGGUUUUGCUGUCACUUAUAGAUGGAUCCGCGCCGCAUUAGCUAGUUGGUAAGGUAACGGCUUACCAAGGCAACGAUGCGUAGCCGACCUGAGAGGGUGAUCGGCCACACUGGAACUGAGACACGGUCCAGACUCCUACGGGAGGCAGCAGUAGGGAAUCUUCCGCAAUGGGCGAAAGCCUGACGGAGCAACGCCGCGUGAGCGAUGAAGGUCUUCGGAUCGUAAAACUCUGUUAGUAGGGAAGAACAAAUGUGUAAGUAACUAUGCACGUCUUGACGGUACCUAAUCAGAAAGCCACGGCUAACUACGUG